AGAAGUUUCACAGCUAGUGGCAAUUUGAAAAUUAGCCUUUUGAGAAAUUUCCUCCUGACUUCCACGAGUGGAAAAUUCGUCUAUGCCCGGAGGCAGAAAGGUGCUUACAGCGAGAGUGGGGUUGGUGUCUUCUCACUGGUGACAGGUGACAGGACGAGGGGAAAUGGCCUCAAGUUGUUCCAGGGUAAGUUUAGGUUGGCUCUCAGGAAACACUUCUUUACAGAAAGCGUUGUUAAGCACUGGAAUAGGCUCCCCAGGGAGGUGGUUGAGUCACCAUCCCUGAACGUGUUCAAAAACUGUUUGCAUGUGGUGCUCAGGGACAUGAUUUAGUG
ensembl:lncRNA